rnacentral:rRNA from 1 species
UACGGGGGGGGCAAGCGUUGUUCGGAAUUACCGGGCGUAAAGGGCUUGUAGGUGGCCAACUAAGUCAGACGUGAAAUCCCUCGGCUUAACCGGGGAACUGCGUCUGAUACUGGAUGGCUUGAGUGUGGGAGAGGGAUGCGGAAUUCCAGGUGUAGCGGUGAAAUGCGUAGAUAUCUGGAGGAACACCGGUGGCGAAGGCGGCAUCCUGGACCAUUACUGACACUGAAAAGCGAAAGCCAGGGGAGCAAACGGG